AACGAACGCUGGCGGCAUGCCUAACACAUGCAAGUCGAACGAUGCUUUCGGGCAUAGUGGCGCACGGGUGCGUAACGCGUGGGAAUCUGCCCUUGGGUUCGGAAUAACAGUGAGAAAUUGCUGCUAAUACCGGAUGAUGUCUUCGGACCAAAGAUUAUCGCCCAGGGAUGAGCCCGCGUAGGAUUAGCUAGUUGGUGGGGUAAUGGCCUACCAAGGCGACGAUCCUUAGCUGGUCUGAGAGGAUGAUCAGCCACACUGGGACUGAGACACGGCCCAGACUCCUACGGGAGGCAGCAGUGGGGAAUAUUGGACAAUGGGCGCAAGCCUGAUCCAGCAAUGCCGCGUGAGUGAUGAAGGCCUUAGGGUUGUAAAGCUCUUUUACCCGGGAUGAUAAUGACAGUACCGGGAGAAUAAGCUCCGGCUAACUCCGUG
rnacentral:rRNA from 1 species